CUUGCCUUGCCUCACCGCGCCUUGGAUUUACCUGAGGAAUUGCUAGACCUGACUGUAAUGCACUUUGGAUUCCCCUGAGUCCAUACAUUAUUUGUUCCAGCUUGGUUCAGCUAGGUACCCUGUACCUGAUCACAAUUCCUUUUCCUUACAAAUCCUGCUGCUGCUAACAGCAGCAGUGCUUUGUCUUUACGAUCUGCUCUUCAGAGCUCAGUACAGUGGUUCAUAUCAGAGAGAAAAUCAGGGAGACAAAUGUAGUAUACUUUUUGCUGAAAUUGCCAUUAAAGGAGAGAAGCAGGAGAGCCUGAGUGCUGGCAUAGCCAGAGCCAGGAGGGGCCAGAGAUAACCUGACCAUCAUGAAAUGAUCACUGGCUCUUCUGCCUCUCAUUUCUCCUUUGAUAGUGACGGUAAUAAACCACAGACAGAACGUGGGAUUAUCCACUUAGCUCUGUUCUUCCCGACUCCUGAGUGAGAUGAAAGCCUCAGCCACAAUCCUGAGCCUUCAAGAAGAAAUUAGGCAACUUGAUCUUAUUUCAAAGGACACCAGACUUAAUGGGGCAUGUGACCUUUCUCAAAACAUCUUUGAAUUACUGGGCAACAUUUCUGAACUCUACAGAAGUGCAUGCAAGCAAAAACGUGAACACGGUGGUCUGAUUUUGAGCUCAGUCAUGCAGGAGCCUACAAACACAUUCCCAGAAACUCCAGCUGGCAAAUGGUGCUUACAGCAAUGAACCAACCCGCUCAGGGAAGGUGGAAUGCAGGAAGAUGGUGUGAACUUCCCAGCCCUGAAUUACAUACUCACACAUUUGUAAAGUUCCAGAAACACUUUAUUUAAAAAUGGAGUUGUAAAUGCAUAUAACAAAAUAACAUACAUAAUAAAUGUAACAAAAAUAAAUAAGGAGAACA
rnacentral:lncRNA from 1 species